rnacentral:rRNA from 1 species
GAUGAACGCUGGCGGCGUGCCUAAUACAUGCAAGUCGAACGGAAAGGCGAUGAUCUUGCUGCUCUGAUGUGAGCGGCGGGCGGGUGAGUAACACGUGGAUAACCCACCUAUAAGACUGGGAUAACUUCGAGAAAGCGUAGCUAAUACCGGAUGAUAUUUUGAACCGCAUGGUUGGAAAGUGAAAUACGGGCUUGGUGUCACGUAUAGCUGGAUCCGGGCUGGAUGAGCUAGUUGUUAGGGUAACGGCUUAGCAAGGCAACGAUGCAUAGGCGGCCUGAGAGGGGGGUAGGCGGCCUGGGAGGUGGACCGCGGUCCUGGGUCCUACGGGAGGCAGCAGUCGCGAAUGUUCGGCAAUGGGCGAAAGCCUGACGGAGUGGCGCCGAGUGAGUGGUGGCGGUCCUCGGAUCGUAAAACUGUGUUAUGGGGGAAAAACAUAUGUGUAAGUAACUGUGCACAUCUUGACGGUACCUAAUCAGAAAGCCCCGGCUAACUACGUG